AAGAAGGACAAAGAGAAGGAGGAUGAGAACACGACCACAGAGGUGGGUGAUGGAGCUGAGCUCGACUCGGAGGCUGCAGAUAUCCUCAAUGACCUGCAAGGGAAGCUUAAUUCUGUUCUGGAAA